rnacentral:misc_RNA from 1 species
CAGAGUUCUUUGCCCUUCGGGGUAGAUCUCCCACCCUUGUCUAUUAUACCUUUGUUGCUUUGGCAGGCCGCGUCAGCCACUGGCCCUGAGCCAGUGUGUGCCUGUCAGGGAAUAAAAAACUCUGAAUUACUAGCGUCGUCUGAGUACUAUAAAAUAGUUA